GAUGAACGCUGGCGGCGUGCCUAAUACAUGCAAGUCGAGCGAAUGGAUUAAGAGCUUGCUCUUAUGAAGUUAGCGGCGGACGGGUGAGUAACACGUGGGUACCCUGCCCAUAAGACUGGGAUAACUCCGGGAAACCGGGGCUAAUACCGGAUAACAUUUUGAACCGCAUGGUUCGAAAUUGAAAGGCGGCUUCGGCUGUCACUUAUGGAUGGACCCGGGUCGCAUUAGCUAGUUGGUGAGGUAACGGCGCACCAAGGCAACGAUGCGUAGCCGACCUGAGAGGGUGAUCGGCCACACUGGGACUGAGACACGGGCCAGACUCCUACGGGAGGCAGCAGUAGGGAAUCUUCCGCAAUGGACGAAAGUCUGACGGAGCAACGCCGCGUGAGUGAUGAAGGCUUUCGGGUCGUAAAACUCUGUUGUUAGGGAAGAACAAGUGCUAGUUGAAUAAGCUGGCACCUUGACGGUACCUAACCAGAAAGCCACGGCUAACUACGUGCCAGCCGCCGCUGUAA
rnacentral:rRNA from 1 species